GACAGGCUCCAGGGAUGUUUGUUUGGCUACUACGGGUGUAUAAACCAACAAUGGAUGGUAUUUUACUUCUGGCUUUCGGUGGCUUGAAUCAAGACCAAAAACUUUGCAGCCCCCUUGCCCACACACAGCCACCCCAACAUGCUGUUCUCCCACCUGGGUGGCUGGGCUCCUUCCCUGGCCUGAAGGACCACGGUCAUGGGACAGGUUCCCUUUUUCCUUCUGGAAGUCCAAAACACACUGCUUGGGUGUCAAGGCACACAAUGCUAAGACAUAAACCCCAGGAUACACUGCUCAGGGCCAGGGCUGGAUCUGGUGGUCCUUCUAGCACUGGUUUAUCUGCGAACGGCAAGUCUUUAAUUAAACCACCUUGGAAUAACUUGAAUAUCUUCAGGGCCAGGCAGUGCUUGUCCACCUUUACCAGUGGAUUAAUGCAGUUAUGCCCAUUGAGUUGUUCCUGGACAUCCAAAGAACAGGUUAUAUGUCCACCUGCCCAAGCUUCUCCAGACUUGUGGUCACAGCUGGAGCAGAAACAUAUAAAACCUACAUGCCUAAAUUGACUCACUAACUUCAAGAAGAUCGGGGAAGUGUCAGGAUAAAGGCAGCUUUCAACAAGAUGUCCCAUAUCUGAGGAUCCAAGGGAUGAGUUGCACUCUCCUUGGCCAAAGGAUAACUGUGAUACAUCCUGUGACACAGGGUGGUGACACAACAAAACCACCCUGAGUAUCUGCUGCCCCAAAGGAGAUUAUCUGGUCUACAGCAGGUCCCAAGCCUGAAUGUGUUCCUGAAUCCCAAGCUUCAUAGACACCAUUGUUACAGAGCAUGGGGUAGGAUGGGUCACCCACAAGUGUCCUUCACCUUCAUCAGUAGGCAUGAGGGUCAACGCAGCAGGCAUGAGCACUGGAAUGCCAGAAGUUGCCUUCCCAAUCACACUCAUUCUGCCGGGGAGGGAUGAGACAGCAUUGUGCUUUAAACAGCAUCCCCGACCCUAUCAGCGAGAGAUGAGAUAUCCUAAUUAUGGCAGUACAGGCGAGGAUCCGGGCUGUAUCAGCCAGCACAGAAAGGAUCACACCAAGAAGCAGCCGCGAGAUGGCUGCAUGGCUCAAAAGAAGGCAGCCAACUUCACACAGACAUCCUCGGGUCAUGCUUGAUGGACAAGGGAAACUGAGGCAGGUCAGCAUCAUGGACUGCGUGGAGGUGAGAUGUCACCAGGGAGGUAACACAUUGGCUCUUGCAAAAGAUGGCAAAAGAUGUUUUCCCCGGGAAAGUGAACUUUGAAGGGGCCCUGUCUGGGAUAAGACCAAGCACCAAGGUCCUUGGGCUAGCCCAAAACACACAGUGGUAAAGCCUCAUCUACAAACACAGGAGGGAUUCAUAGGGAAAAUGACCCACAGAGCCCCCAGCACAGCUCUCUUCCAAACCCACACUGCCAGUCAACAAGCCGGGCAUUCAUCACAUAUUCAGGGUGUGGACAGGGCAGGGAAUGAAAUCCCACUGUUACUCAUGAUAAGGAUGCUAUUUCUAACUCCUUUUGCAACCAAGAGGUAAAAAUUAAUGGGUUCCCCUCCUCUCGCCACACCCCCAGCCUGAGUGCUGACACCGCAGGAAGGCACGAUGACUAAUCCUCCCGAAACCCUGCUGAGCCAAGCAUUACCACCCAGCACCGGGAGCUUGUUGUUCCCAAACCUGCACGAUGUUUAGUACCUGCGAGAGAAAAGUCUGGGGAGGAGCAUCCAUUGGGGGCACGAAUGGGGACGUCCAGGGUCCAGCCUAGGGCUGGC